rnacentral:tRNA from 2 species
ACUUUUAAUGGAUAAUAGAAGUCCGA